rnacentral:rRNA from 1 species
UACGGAGGGUGCAAGCGUUAUCCGGAUUCACUGGGUUUAAAGGGCGCGUAGGCGGCCACCGCAAGUCGGUUGUGAAAUCUCCCGGGCUUAACCCGGAAAGGUCAAUCGAUACUGCGGGCUAGAGUGCAGAAGGGGCAACUGGAAUUCUCGGUGUAGCGGUGAAAUGCGUAGAUAUCAGAGGAACACCUGCGGCGAAGGCGGGUUGCUGGGCUGACACUGACGCUGAGGAACGAAAAGCCAGGGGAGCGAAACGGG